rnacentral:lncRNA from 1 species
CGGCCUCGGUGCCUUCCGCACCUCUUGAAGGAAAUAAUCUGAUUUAGGGUCAGAUCAUCAAGGAGCAUAUAAAAAUUUUUCUAUAAUAAUCUAACAUAAAUUUUAUCUUUUACCUGCUAUGUAAUAGAAUAAGAAUCAAAAAUCUCUUGGAUUUUCUUGAUUCGAAGCCUUGCAAGGCCUGGAUGUGCAGACCCUCUACUUCGCAUGUACGCUAAGCUUCGUAGGAAAGAAGGAUGAAGCCUCAGAUCGUCAUGCCUUCUCAAGAUAGCAAGGGAGGGAGGAUGAAGACCUUUGGUGUGAUGUCCCACACCUAGAUUUGAGAUGCCUGGAGCUCUUCAUGCGAGGAGAAGAUCAGCCCCAAAAUCAGCACACCAAGGAGAAGGACGGCCUUCCUUCUCUUGGACGCGCACACCUCUUUUCUCUCAC